UGUUGGCAAAGUAAUGUCUCUGCUUUUGAAUAUGCUAUCUAGAUUGGUCAUAACUUUCCUUCCAAGGAGUAAGCGUCUUUUAAUUUCAUGGCUACAGUCACCAUCUGUAGUGAUUUUGGAGCCCAGAAAAUAAAGUCUGACACUGUUUCCACUGUUUCCAUCUAUUUCCCAUGAAGUGAUGGGACCGGAUGCCAUGAUCUUCGUUUUCUGAAUGUUGAGCUUUAAGCCAACUUUUCACUCUCCACUUUCACUUUCAUCAAGAGGCUUUUGAGUUCCUCUUCACUUUCUGCCAUAAGGGUGGUGUCAUCUGCAUAUCUGAGGUUAUUGAUAUUUCUCCUGGCAAUCUUGAUUCCAGUUUGUGUUUUUUCCAGUCCAGCGUUUCUCAUGAUGUACUCUGCAUAUAAGUUAAAUAAACAGGGUGACAAUAUACAGCCUUGACGAACUCCUUUUCCUAUUUGGAACCAGUCUGUUGUUCCAUGUCCAGUUCUAACUGUUGCUUCCUGACCUGCAUAGGCAUAGCAAUAUCUUUAAGCUCUUUAUAGAACUAAAGUGAAAAAGUGAAGUCGCUCAGUCGUGUCCAACUCUUUGUGACCCCAUGGCCUGUAGCUUACUAGGCUUCUAGGUCCAUGGGAUUUUCCAGGCAAGAAUACUGGAGUGGGUUACCAUUUCCUUCUCCAGGAGAUCUUCCCGACCCAGGGAUUGAACCCAGGUCUCCCACAUUGUAGGCAGAUGCUUUACCGUUUGAGCCACCAGGGAAGUCCUAUAGAACUAAACCCCCAACAAAUGCGAGAUGUCAGCAGUUCUUCAUUCUAGAGAAGACCAUCUGAAAUCAGAUUAAAGGAACCAGAGAAGCUCAUCAAGAGAUUACUUGAGAGCAGAUUAAAGGAGUGCAGGCCCUGCACACACCCUGAUCCUUAUCAGCAAGCCCACUCUUGAACUAUUGCUAUAAAACUCUUCACCAAAUCCUCCCAGGUUUGGACUGUUUUCAAGGGCAGGAGCCUGCCAUGUCUCCCUUUGCCUGGAAAAGCAAUAAAGCUCUUCUUUUCUAAUUCACCCCAACUCUGUCUCCAAGAUUUGAUUUGGCACCAGUGCACAGAGGCUGAGUUUUCGGCAUCAGAAGACACAACUUGGAUACUUCCACACCUUGGGAUGAUAGUGAUAUUGGUGUGUCAUUCUGAAUAUUACUGCACACAUCCCAGGAAUCCAGACCUCAGCCCACCAACUUGU
rnacentral:lncRNA from 1 species